AUUGAACGCUGGCGGCAGGCCUAACACAUGCAAGUCGAACGGUAGCACAGAGAGCUUGCUCUCGGGUGACGAGUGGCGGACGGGUGAGUAAUGUCUGGGAAACUGCCCGAUGGAGGGGGAUAACUACUGGAAACGGUAGCUAAUACCGCAUAACGUCGCAAGACCAAAGUGGGGGACCUUCGGGCCUCACACCAGCGGAUGUGCCCAGAUGGGAUUAGCUAGUAGGUGGGGGAAUGGCUCACCUAGGCGACGAUCCCUAGCUGGUCUGAGAGGAUGACCAGCCACACUGGAACUGAGACACGGUCCAGACUCCUACGGGAGGCAGCAGUGGGGAAUAUUGCACAAUGGGCGCAAGCCUGAUGCAGCCAUGCCGCGUGUAUGAAGAUGGCCUUCGGGUUGUAAAGUACUUUCAGCGGGGAGGAAGGCGGUGAAGUUAAUAGCUUCACCGAUUGACGUUACCCGCAGAAGAAGCACCGGCUAACUACGUGCCAGCCGCCGCAGUAA
rnacentral:rRNA from 1 species